rnacentral:lncRNA from 1 species
AUGAUGAUGAUGGUGAUGAUGAUGGUGAUGGUGAUGGUGAUGAUGAUGAUGAUAGUGAUGACAAUAAUAUUGAUGAUGGUGAUGGUGAUGAUGAUGGUGAUGGGGAUGGUGAUGAUGGUUCAUCUCUUAUGGACAGGCUGCCUACUGUCGAGAGCUCAUGGAUGAUUUGUCCUUUGAAGGGUUUUCUCACCGGAAGCUCUGCCAUUGCCUGGUGUGAGCGGUUCAUCCACAAGUGGCAGCCAAGAGCCUCCUGGCAGUGGCAUCAGGUGAGGAAACUGUGGCUCAGCAAAGAGGACAGCAGGGCUUUGAGCUUCGUGUCUAGCCCACGUUCCCGACUACUGCAAGAUUGCGCAGGCUGAUGCUGUGGAACCAGCACACCCUUUAGGGAAGCUCGGAACUUUGUUUAUCACAGUUAGGCACACCCCUCCUCAGCCUUGUGUCCCUGCUGCAGCCACUCUCUGUCUCCACCUGCUGUGAUGGGCACUGCUUACUGUGGUCCCUGCUCUAGCUGCUGCCACCUCCGGGUGGCCACGGGGAUCUGGACCCACUGGGCCUCCCAUGGCUGCUUCUGGGUGUGUGGGCCUGGACAUUUCCAGGGCUCUGCUCUCCCUGUCUGCAUGCCCCCAUGGCCACGCCCACCUUGAGGAGGGCAGUGCACAUGGCCCCUGCCUGCCAACGAGGCCUCUUUGGGGCGGUGCGGGGGUGGGGGGACCUGGGAAGGUCCUUGGGAACCUGGGUCAUCGGGCCGACUGUCCCAAGGGGUGCUCUGUCCCAGCUCUCAGCUCUCAGGGCAGCCCCUCUGAUCACCAGCCCU